CAGGUUUCUCGAUUAGCGAACAAACAUCGUUAUUUAAAUGUUCGUUGUCGUUGAAACCUGAA
rnacentral:pre_miRNA from 1 species